UCCACUCUCCACUCUCCCGCUGGCUACUGCUCAUCAGGAGCAAGAUGGGGGUGGGGACUGUCCAAUGAUUCCUCUGUGUGAUAGAUGACCAAGUGGCUGCAGUCGUGGGGGUCUACACAGCAGUGCAAGAUUGUUUGUAGCUGAUUUGAUCAAACUCUGGCUUCCUGAACUGGAAUGAAAUGCAGAUAACUCGUUAGCAAACUUUUGUGGGAAAAAAGUGCCUUGUGCGAUCAGAACAAAGCCGUUUUAUAAUCAGAUUUACCAAGCUGAGAAGAGGGAGUUUCAGCAAAUGGAAGCUUCAGCUUUCUGUCACCAGGAAACACUGCGUUAUCCAGAAUCGGUAAGUGAAAAGUGGCAUUGUCCCUAAUAGAUAUCAUAUGGUGUGUGGGAGAAUUGCAAAAUAUAUAUAUAUAUAUAGGAUUUUAAAAGCAGGCAGCCCCACCAUAUAACAUAAAAGCUGAGACGUUACCAGGUAAUUAACAAAAUGAGAUGUGAGUUACUAGUUUAGCCAAACAUAUGUAAUAGAACUAGAUCUUACUUUUUGAACAUGGUUUCCUUUUCAGUGGGGCAAAGCAUGAAAUCCAAAUGGGCUGUUUGCUUGAGUUGCUACACUAACUUUCCAUGGAUAGAGAUUUGCAUUCAGUCUGAGUAGCGAGUCGAAAUGUGAAGAAAUACUUUCAGAAUUAGUCGGUUCCUUUGCUUCCCCAUUGUGUCAGAUUUUAUCUAGAUCUUUACAAAAUGAAAGUAGAAGCAGUGUACCAAAAAAAUCUGAUUGUGAAUGGCAGAUUAUGGUGGUCAUAGAAUUUGUUUUGUAUUCAUGUCAUGAUUUUAAGAUUGUUCUGUUUGAUUACAGUUCUGUUCUUGUUUUGAUAAAGCAAAAGGGUGCUGAUUUCCAUACAGUUCAUAACUUUUUUAAGAUGGUAAUGAGCAACUAACUCUUAAUGGUGUGCUACCCGUGUGUCUGCCUGUCUUUCUUUCUCUGAAACCUGAAAUUCAGUUUUCUUGUUUUGAAUCUGAGCUGCUCCUAUUCCAGAAAAAGACAGUAAAGCUGUGACUAUCUGUGUUCCAAAAGACACCGAGAUAGCAGUUUUAUAUUAGUGUGAAUGUUUGACUUCUCUGAAAUAUGAUUGCAUAAAGGUUGUGCCCAGCAAGCAUAUUAGGAUAGUAGGUGGCUGCUUGAUUUUUGUCUGUUUCUUUUUGGUCAGUAGAACUAAUCAUGUGAUAUAUACUUACAAAGAGUUAGAUGGAAAUAUUUUAAGUGUCAGUAAUUAUAUAGGUAUUCUGGGCAAUCUCCAUUUAUGAGUAUAAACAUGCAAUUAUGACAUGAACAGAAUUAGGCUUUGAGUUAUAAAGGAUGUAAUAUUAUUUAUUUUGCUUUAAGUAGCCCCAACUAAAUUAAAAGUUAAAUGUACAUUCUUGACUUCUGGCUCCCACUCUGUUCCUUUUGGAAUCAUAAAAUUUCCAGCUUAAAAAAGGAACACCAUAGCAGGAUAACAAAGCUGCAGGUUUCUGUUAGUUGAGUGGGCUGCAGAUGGGAAGAGAAAGAUGAGUAUGUUGGAAUCUGUAAAUUGUGCCCCCUUAACGCACACGCUUUAAGGGUUUGAAGAUCAUUUUUCUUAGGCUAAUAGCUCCCAAGACUUCAGUUUCAAUGAAAAGACAAGCAUGGCUGUGACAUGCAGAUCUAGCUGCAAAUUUGGGCGAAUGUCACAUGUCAUUUGGCUUAAUUAAGGUGUGCCCUCCUGACACACAUAAAUUUAUAGGUUUGAGAAGGAGACAGAAAAAUUUUGAGAAAGCAUGAUAGUAAUUUUAGCUGAUUUUUAUCCUGCUGUUAGUGUAUCUUCAGUAACUAAUAAUUAUUUUCACCUCUGUAUUUCAUCUAAAUGCUUGGAUAAAAAACACGGUAAUUUAAUAUUGAGCUAAAUACAUGCAGGAUAGGAAAAAGACUAUAUAAAAAUUUCAGAUGUUCUUCAACAUUUAGAAGCCACUGCCUUGAGUGAUUAAAAAUAGGAUAUAAUAUAAAUUGAAAUAGUAAAUGCUAAAAAGUGAGUCCCAGAAAAACUUCAUCUUUAAAAUUUAGUUUGUCAUUCUUUGUUCUGAGUUUCUUAUUUUUAAAUGUACAUCUAAAAGCAUUGCUAUGAAUUAUCUCCCAGAGUUACUAAAGGCAUUGCUAUUUUGGCAUGUUUGGUCUUUGUGGAUUUUCAAAACAACAAAGUGAAAGGAAGCCAUUUGAGAGACAUAUCUCAAUCAUUUCUACCCAGUAUUUGAUAAGUGUACUGUACACCUUCAAAAUUUGAUGUGUGUGUGUGUGUGUGUGUGUGUGUGUGUGUGUGUGUGUGUGUAGGUGUGUGUCUAAGCUUACUUUGAAGGUGGGUCUUAAAUCAACAACAGCUAUUUGUUAGAACCCAGAUAAGACUUGGAAUGUAGUUCUCUGGCAACCGAGUAGUUAGGCAUUGAAAUGUAGCUUUAAGGAUUCAGUUCAUAAAUGGCAUUCAGAUCUCCUGCUACAGUGUCAUUGAGUAGAAGGAUAACAAGAAUGGGUAAACCAUGAAGAAUUAUAAUGAUCUCCAUUUUUCAGGUCUUCUUGACUUGCUUUUGUAUACAGGAUCACCAUGGAAGUGGGAAGCAUAGGCCUUGAAGGAAGCCAUACUUUAGUACAAAAUUAGUAUGUGAAAAAUUGGGAGAGAUAAGUACCAACAUAUGGAGUAAUGAGUAAACGUCAGCUCAGCUUCCACAAGGCUCUGCACACCGUUUAUCCGGGGCUGACCAGCCAUGAGAAGAACAUCUUGAACCAAUUAUUGUAGGCUCUUGAAGAGCUGCAAAUAUUUCCUUCAAAUGCAAUGUGGAGAGAAUUCCUUUGGUAGUAGCAGAAUGGCUUACCAGUUUGCUAUAGCAUUUAUUUCUAUCCCCGCUCCCCCUAAGAACAACUACAGAGGCUUCGGUGUUCUUAUGAGACACAUGCUUUCCAAACAACUGUUCAUUUGCCAUUUCCUAGUUUUGUCUUCUUUUUCCUAUGGAAUAAAUAGGAGUGUAUUAAGCAGUCAUAAGCCCUAAGCAUUUUAUCUUACAUUCAAAAAUUACUUUUAACAUUCUUUAAAAAGAGACUAAGAGGUGUUUAUGGAAUGAAUUGGCAGGCUGAUAACCUAGGAAACACCGUAUCAGAGCAAGAAAAUGUUUAGACUAAUAUGUACCAUAGAUUAAGUAUGCACGCUUGCAUUUUCCAUGCCUGAAGGUAUUUUCUAUUUCACAAUGGUUUUAGCAAUUUAUUUUGUCACUUGUACCUUGAGAAUUAGUGAAAAAAAGAUUUCAGUUGAAGUUAUUCCUUACUUCAUAAGUAGAAACCUGGCAAUUCUUCUAAAGUCCAAAUGAUUCUGAAAAGUUAGAAAAAUGUUCAUGUCACAAAAUGAUGGAAAGUUCUGACCUGAGCUUAAAUGAGUCCACUUGCAGUCUUUAUUUAGCUCACUAAGCCUAUACAUUUUAUCAGAGAAAUAUUCAUGUACUUGAUUCUGGAAUACAGCACCAACUCUCCCUAGAGUUAUGUAUGUAUGUAUGUAUGUAUGUAUGUAUGUAUGUAUAUAUGUAUGUAUGUAUAUUAAAUAAUCACCCUCCUUAUAAACAUUUAUAAUAGCAUGAGUGUUGGAGUGCCAGAUAAGGCUUUUUGACUCUUGAAUUAACAUUCAUUGAACUCAUGAUAUGUGUUAGAUAUUUUUCUAAAUAUAUCCCUGACAUCUAUUUCAGUGCCAACCAAUUCCUGAUAGUUACCCAGGACAUAGGUCUUAAUAUAUAAUGCUUUACAUGUACUAACUGUAAACCCAGUAUGAUUGUUACUUCUUUUUACUGUAGAGAAAGCAGUACACAGAGAAGUGAAACUAAUUGCCCAAAAUGACAUAGGAAGGAAAUAAUGGAGCCAGGAUUUGCAAGCACUGAAACUAGGCUGAGUCAAAGGGGUGUGUCAACUGCUUUCUGCAUUCCUGCUUACCCUAUGCCUAGUGUCAUGCGAAGGUGAUAGUGAUAUCACCACUCUGGUCAUUAACAGGGUCCAUUCCUCCUCUGUGUGAAAUGUUUGUUCACAGGUUUGUGGUGGAAUGGACUAUGGGAGUUUCAGGGAUCCAAGCUCCUUCUUGAUGAGUCAACCUGGCUUUAUUAAUUGAGAAAAAUUAAGACAAAAGAAAUAACAUUUUGUUUUCAACUCCAAAGUAAUUUUUGUAUACAAUUACAAAAAGUCCUUUCAUAUUUAUUUUCUGGAACUUUAUACCCAGACAGGUCUAUGCUGUUAAGGGAGAAAGGGACACCUUAGAGGGAGUGACACUUUGACACAGGAGUCAUGCUGGGCACAGUAAGUGCCUUUGGGAAACCAGGCAGCCCAGGAAAUUGAACUGCAUUAUUGAAUCUAGAAAAGGAGACUUCUAACCAUGCUUCUCAAAAAAAGAAAAGAAAAGAUGUAUAAGAUGGCUCUCUUGUCCCUAUGUUUCUAAUCAUUAAAAAUAAGUUCUUUCUAAACUUCCCAGUUUAUGUCCCUGAUCCUCCUUCCCUGCUUAGUGAUUCAGCAGUUACUUCCUGUUGGCAUGUUGUGCAGUUUAUGUCCUUGCUUGCCAUUUUAGUCAACCACUUCUGUUAUUGUUGGCCUUGAACACACUUAAAGAUUUCUGGAUCUAUAUUUUGAUCUCUGUCUUCAACUUAAUUUCCUUAUGUUCAUUUCAAAAUGCUAUUGACAAGAAAAAAUGUUGGUGACUAUUUUUUUUUUUACUGUUACAUACUUUUUUUUUUUGUAGUAAUAGUUUUGAAAACUUAUUUCUCCUAAACAAACUGUUUAGGUUACAUGGUCGAAAUUUGGAGGAUAGGUGUUUUUAUUCAGAUGAAAAGACCUAACCAGUUUUGAAUGUAGUUACUGUAUAUAUCAUUUAUUCCAUUUAUUUUCUUGAUAUCAGGAAGAAUAAGAGUUAAAGAGGGUAUGCAAAGUAAUUCCAUUUUGUUAACUACUUUCAAAGAUGAGUAGCUGAAUUAGAACAUAUAUUUCAUCUAAAAUGUCUUAUACUUAUCUAGUAAACUACCCUGAUUUUUUUGGAAUUGUUAAAGCAUACUGACUACAACUGGAGACAAAAAUGGAACCUAAGAAAAUAAAAUCACUUGGGAAGGAUGUGAAUUCAUAUAUCUUUUCUCUUAAAGUUGUUUUGAAAAGUAAGUACUUGCCAUUCCUAAUUGUUUUUGUUUUGCUUUUUUUUUUUGUAAUCUGAUACUGAAAGCGUUGAUUUGUGCAUAAAGUAUAUAUAGUUACUGCCAUCUGGGAGUUUGCAUUUUAAGUGACAUGGCAUGGGUAAGAACAGACAUAAAACAUAUACACACCAUUAUAUAGACAACUAGACUAGAUCUAGCCUGACAACAAAUGGAGCUUGAUAUUCAUAGAUCUUACCUGAGUGGAUGUUAUUUCAUGAUAUCUGAACCCUUGUCCAAACUCUAUAUCAUCUGGCCUGACUAGCUAGUGAUGUAUUCCUGUUAACCUUUAUAUUCUUGUUUAGCAAGAGUCCCAUCUGCAUAAAAGAGUUACUUCUUUUGUCAUUUUGGUUUGGUUCAGCUGGGAGGGAUAGCAUCAUUGCUUCAGGCUGAAAUGGACUAAUCUGUUUCACUUGUGGGUAAGGAGAAACGAAUACUUUGAGAACAGUGUGGCGUGGGGGAGAAAGGACACAAUUGCUGCCUUUCAUCCUUCCCUGCCCUGGCUCAGGAUCCCAGUGUGGAAAUGGGGAUGCUUAGGACUUAAUGAGCACAUUUAUUUCCUUGGAUGAGUUGCAUAGGGAACCAAAAGGAAGAUGAAGAAAUGGACAUGUAGGAAGUAGGGAAGUCCUAGGGGAGUGAAGAACCCGUUGCUUUCAAGCCCAGGUGUCAGCCCUUUAUUCUCCCUGGUGGCUGGGACAUGCUGCCCCACCCCUGCUUCCAUCCUAUGAAUCAAGUGACUGCUUAGAACUGAGCACCACUUUGCUGAGUAACUGAGGAGAGUGAGGAAUUCAAGAAUGGCCUUUUAAGGCACCAUUUUGUAUGAAUCAUCCUGCGUACAUCUCUCUACUGAAUCUACUUCUAGAAAUAGAGAGCUACCUUCUUGUCUUGAAGACAACAGCACACAUUGUCUGUAAGCAUUGUGUUGUGCUCACUCCUUCCUCCGAGGCCUAAUCUCCUGUCCUUGGUCCUUCUUGUAUGUUCCCUGAAAUUUCCCUCUCCUGCCAUGUAAAUCCAGACAACUUUCUGCCUGCAUUCUAUUUCUGCCUUUGAAUUGAGUCUCUUCGAAACAAUUGUGUGGUGGCUGGGCACUGCAAAAUGAGUCAGUUCCUACAGUUUGGUUACAAGUUCUCAAAAAGUAUUUCAGAAUGUGGAUGUGGUCAGCAGAGUCAUUUUCCAGGCAUCUAAAAGGAAACCCACAUCAACUGUAACAAUUGAGCUCUGACCGGAUGGUGCCAUACAACAGAACCAAGGCCUAUUUUCUCUUAGAGCAAUGCCUAGAGCCAUACACGAAUUUAUCUGCUCCUAGCACAUCUUCAAUGGAAAGUCUUGUUCUUGUUUGCAGGUCACAUUUUAUUUGCCACCAUUUGAAAAACAAUGUGACACAGGUUUUAACCUUAUUUACUUUUGGAUGUUGGUCUGAAUUUGAAAAAUUAUUAAUUAUUUUUAUAAACUAGAAUCAGUGAGACUAGAGUAUGAUUAGUAGAUGACUUGAAGUAUGACUUAUGGAUGAAAAGUGGGUAAUUUUUCUGAGGAAUAACCAAGGGGCACUUUUAGAUAUCAUGUAGUACAUAGGAUUACCUCAUUUCCUAAUUAUGUUCUGGAUCUUUCAGCGUUGGUCAUAUAAAUAAUUAAAUUCUUUUCAAGCUUUGAAGAUGUUUCAAGCUCAUCAACAACAGAAUAUUUUAGCUUAGCAUGGGCUUUAGAAAAAUCUUUUGUGGCUAUUUACUUACUUGUGUACCAUAAGUUCUGUAAAAUCUGAUUGAGCUGGUCUUCAACCAUUCAUGAAAGCUGAUGACAUUUU
rnacentral:lncRNA from 1 species